GAGAAUCUUAUAGCCACCGUCCGAGAAGUUGUAAACCGCCUCGAACGCUAGUGCCUGGUUUCUUAGGCCCUGGAUGCUUUUCUUAAAGGGAUGAAACAAAUGUGAGGAAUGAGGGACAUGCUGGGAAUAAGCCGAAGACACUCUGGUUCUUGCUUACUGGAUGAGCAUCUUCUGUGAGGACCCAGGGGCAGCCAAGAGAAGAUGACAUCCCCUCUAUCCAACUUCCAGAGCAAGCUUGCACUGCUGUGUGCCAUUUCCUGUUAUUUAUCACCCGGCUGUGGGCACACUCUGGACUAGAAGAUGCCAUGAUGAUGCUUCCUUCUCUGUCAGGUCAAAGUUGUCUGUCUUUGGUAAUACAAAGCUCUGGAAUUUCUGUUGCUCAGGUUCUGACAGAGUCUCUCUCUCCCCCCAGCGCAGUCCCACCCUGUUUCCCUGCACCUUAGUUGCAUGUACUCUGUGCUCUGCUGGCCAUCAAAGCCUCUCUUCCAUUUGGUGAAAAUGUCUGCAGACGUCUGUUAAUUGCUAAAAAAAACCCUCUGUGAUAAUCCAGUAAAAAAAGAAAAGAAAAAGGACCAUCAGCUUCCUUUUUUCUCCCAGCAUUGUAAGUUCAAAACCUUCAUGUUGGACUGAAACCUUCUUUGUAGUUUGUUACCUAGUUUGAUGUUACAUGGUAGUCUUGUGAUUCAAAUAUCUCUUCUGAGCAACAGGAAAUGGGCCUGAAGGAGAAAUCACAUGCCCUUCCCCUUCUGGUAAUGUGUGGCCAUCCCAAAGAAAUAAACAAUGUAAACAGGUCUCUUGCUAUGGAUUUUUACAGAGCUCUAGCAAAAAUGAAAGUAAAUAAAAUGGGGAUCUGGAGACUACCAUAAAGCAGGCAUGGAUAACCUCCGACCCACAGGGCUCAUAAUUUGCCCUGCAGAGGCAUUUCCUCUGCCAUACACCUGACAUCCUACACUGUUGAGAGUGGGGCAGUUAAAGACAUGACUGCAAAGGAGCAUUGGGGAGCCCUGAAGUGCACUUCUGAGUGUUCUUUGGCAGGGCUGAUAGCGAGCUCCACUGGGAUCUGCUGCACUCAGGAGUUCCUGUUCAGUAAUCCAGCUGAUCCCUGCCAAAAGCAGGGCUUGAAGCUGGUGCCACUCAGCUGAUCAGCGCUGACUGCAAGCCCUACUUUGGGGCAGGGAUCUUCCUUUGUAGCAAACCCCUAGUUGCCCCUUUGAAGAGCUGCAUUACAUGCUUCAGCCAGUGGUAGAGGCCAGAGUGAAUUAUGUGGGUCACCCUAACCUAGAAUCUCACUGUGUUCCAUUGAGUCUGCACACAUUUAUGUCUCUACAAAUGGGAAAUGCUGCAGAGUCAAUCAAGCAAGAACAUGAGUAUGUUUGGCCCAGAUUCUAACACCUUGUGUGAAACCAGUGUUGACCAUCCAUGAAAUAAGUUUCACCUGAGUUUGCUGUCCUAUUACCUUGUUUACAGAUAAUCCUGUGAGCUGCUGAAUUUCUGAAUAGAUCACAUUUGGAGGAACGAGCUUAAGGACAUUGGUGUGUUGCUAGCCAGGGAUUCAUUACAAAGACAUGUAUUGUGGAUGCAAGGUCCUACAGUACUUUCAGCCAAUAGAUGAGGAAAAAACAGUGAUUGCAGGGCUGACAAAUGAAUCCUUCCUCAAAUGUGACCCCCCCCCCCAAUUUAAUGCCUUCUAUUGGUUUCUGCAAACACUGGUGUAACAUCACAAAAGUGUACUGUUGGCAUAUGUUUAACUCUGAUAAAAUACUGCCUUUUGAAUGUU